rnacentral:rRNA from 1 species
CCUACGGGUGGCAGCAGUGGGGAAUAUUGGGCAAUGGGCGCAAGCCUGACCCAGCAACGCCGCGUGAAGGAAGAAGGCUUUCGGGUUGUAAACUUCUUUUCUGAGGGACGAAGAAAGUGACGGUACCCACAGAGGAAGCACCGGCUAACUCCGUGCCAGCAGCCGCGGUAAUACGGGGGGUGCAAGCGUUGUCCGGUAUCAUUGGGCGUAAAGAGUUCGUAGGCGGCACGUAAAGUCUGGUGUUAAAGGCAGAGGCUCAACUUCUGUACGGCACUGGAUACUGGCGAGCUAGAAUGCGGUAGAGGUAAAGGGAAUUCCUGGUGUAGCGGUGAAAUGCUUAGAUAUCAGGAGGAACAUCGGUGGCGUAAGCGCUUUACUGGGCCGUAAUUGACGCUGAGGAACGAAAGCCAGGGUAGCAAAUGGGAUUAGAUACCCUGGUAGUC